rnacentral:lncRNA from 1 species
UUCUGAGACUGGGCCUCUGGCCACUGGCCGGGUGGUUCUAGGGGUCGCAGUGCCUGGUGCUGGCUCCUGGGGCGGGACCUGCAUAGGGCAGUCCAUGCUCUUGCCGGGGAGAAGGACUCGCCUGGGGGUCCCAUCCAUCCCCAUCCCCACCAGGGGAGGCCACACAGGGGACAGCGUCCAAGCCAGUCCGCAGUGUUUGCACAGGGCAGAGACCCACCGUCUGCUGCUUUCAGAAUGCCGACCAGACACGCCCCCUGCCCGAGAAAGGACGUGCGCCCACGGGUGGCUGGAGAAGGGCCGGCUUCAAGGACUCGGAUCGCCCCAGGAAGGGGUGUGGUCCACCCGNUCUUCCCAACUGUUCCCAGAGCCAAGCCCCUAGAAAGUCAGGUCACCACGACAACAGUCCGGAGGCAGAAAAACCCUGACCCAGCAAGACAGUGGCAGCCACGUCCUGGGCGUGGGCUUCCAGCGUCUGACUCUAAAAAGCUGUGAAAAACCUCAAACCACCCUCAGGGAACCGUCUUCUUGCUGAGCUGAGAACAAGCAUCACCAUUUGAAUUCGGAGGAAGCCGGUCUAAGCAAUAACACUGCCCCUCACCACCCCCACCCCCCAGCCCUCAAUGGGUGUGACGUCCAUCCAGCCUUUGGGUCCCAGAGAGCUCAGGUCACAUUUCGUCACCAUCGUCACCAACAGUUCGUUGUCCAGCCCCUCUGGGCCACCGACAUCUCCCUGAUUUCUGCGUCCCAAGGACCCCCAGUUCCACUGAAGUUGCCCAGUAUCCAACAGCAUCUUCAGGGACCCGUCGGCCUUUCCGAGGGGUGCCUGUCGGAUCACUGAAAAUCCCAGGGCUGGAUUUCCUUCUGUUUCAGCAGGUUAAUAAUAUUGUUCUUAUUCAGUCGCUCAGUCGUGUCCGACUCUUUACGACCCCAUGGACUGCAGCACACCAGGCUUCCCUGUCCUUCACCAUCUCCUGGAGUCUGCUGAAACUCAUGUCCAUCGAGUCGGUGACACCAUCCAAGCAUCUCCUCCUCUGUCAUCCCCUUCUCCUCCCGCCUUCACUCUUGCCAGCAUCAAGGUCUUUCCCAAAAAAGUCAGCUCUUCGCGUCAGGUGGUUAGAGUAUGACAUCUCUUUUCUCGAACCUGUUUUAAAACACCCACACUGAAGGCAUGCGGUUUGCUGGAAAUCGUCAGACGAAGACAUUGAUUUAUUGUUUUUUCCCAGUGUCUGCUGUGUCUUUGGAAACCUGUGAUCCUGCCAUUUCACUGANNNNNNNNNNNNNNNNNNNNNNNNNNNNNNNNNNNNNNNNNNNNNNNNNNUAAAUGAAGGAACUGCAUUGGAGUCCCUGAGGGGGACGGAAUAUGUCCGAUGGAAUGACUGCUUAGGGUCUCGAUGCUAUGUUGACAACUGCUCUUGAAAUCUAGAACUUCUUCAAAAUAAACCAUCUUUUUUUUUUUUUCUAAGCA